rnacentral:SRP_RNA from 1 species
CCGUGCUAGGUGGGAAGAUAGCGGUGUCCUGUAACCUGCAAUCCGCUUCAGCAGGACUGAAUUCCUUUCCUAGGUUGUUUGUAUUGCAAGGCCAGCCUCUUGCACGUAGUGUUGACGUUUGGGUCCUGCGCAAUGGAAACCCAUGAACCAUGUCAGGUCCGGAAGGAAGCAGCAUUAAGUGGAUCUUUUCAUGUGCCGCGGGAUUGCCUAAAUCGAGCCAACGACAAGGGUAACGCUUGUGUGCAGCAGUCAAAGAAAGGUGCACGG